rnacentral:rRNA from 1 species
AUACCACGACAAUCUUACACUUCUUGCAUAUUAUUAAAUAUAUUAUAUAAUAUAUUUAAUAAUACAGGUGUUGCAUGGCUGUCUUUAGUUCGUGUUGUGAAAUGUGAGGUUAAUUCCGUUAACGAACGCAAUCCUUUUCUUUAGUUUUGUUAUUAUUAUUAUUAUUAAUUAAAUAUACUUAAACAAAUAUCAUUCUCUAUGAAGGAGAAAGAAUGAUUAAGACUAGUACUCGUGACCCUGAUGAAUAGGACUAGAGACAUGCCCCUGCCAUUUCUACUACAAGAUGCAGAGACGUAUGUGUAUGUAAGCCAAACCAUGACCGGGAAUUGAAGUUCGGAUAAGAAUCAGAAUCUCAAUUCCUGUAACAAUCACCAAUUCCCAAA